CGUAGCUCAUCGGUAGAGCACUUGCUUGAAACAAGAUGUAGCAGGUUCAAAUCCUGCCGAGAG
rnacentral:tRNA from 1 species